GGAGUUGUGGCUGAGUUGUAUAGUAGUAUAGUAUCUGGUUUGCAUGCAGAAGGACCCAGGUUCAAUUCCUGCCACCUCCA
rnacentral:tRNA from 1 species